rnacentral:rRNA from 1 species
AUUGAACGCUGGCGGCAGGCCUAACACAUGCAAGUCGAGCGGAGCGGCGGACGGGUGAUUAAUUCCUUGGUAUCUUCCUUUUAGUGUUUGAUAUCGUCCGUAAACGUUCGCUUAUACCGCUUACUAUCAGAUUAUCCUAGGUCGGAUUAGCUAGUUGGUGGGGUAAAGGCCUACCAAGGCGACGAUCCGUAACUGGUCUGAGAGGAUGAUCAGUCACACUGGAACUGAGACACGGUCCAGACUCCUACGGGAGGCAGCAGUGGGGAAUAUUGGACAAUGGGCGAAAGCCUGAUCCAGCCAUGCCGCGUGUGUGAAGAAGGUCUUCGGAUUGUAAAGCACUUUAAGUUGGGAGGCGUUACCAACAGAAUAAGCACCGGCUAACUUCGUGCCAGCCGCCGCGGUAAUUC